GAUUACCCGCUGAACUUAAGCAUAUUCACUAAGCGGAGGAAAAGAAACAGGCCAGGAUUCCCCUAGUAACGGCGAGUGAAAGGGAUAGCCCACGACCGAGCUGGCUAGUUAGCUAGGCAAUUGUGUUUGGGUCGCUCCGGAUUCCGACUCCACUCGAAGUCCACGACUGAGUAUGGUUCCCAUGGAUUUGGCCAGAGAGGGUGAAUGGCCGUGCGAGUGGAGGUUCAGACAUGUGAGGCAAUUCACCAGGCGACCUUCGAGUCGGGGUGUUUGUGAAUGCAGC
rnacentral:rRNA from 1 species